rnacentral:rRNA from 1 species
CACGUAGGGGGCGAGCGUUGUUCGGAAUUACUGGGCGUAAAGCGCACGUAGGCGGCUUUGUAAGUUAGAGGUGAAAGCCCAGGGCUCAACCCUGGAAUUGCCUUUAAGACUGCAUCGCUUGAACAUCGGAGAGGUAAGUGGAAUUCCGAGUGUAGAGGUGAAAUUCGUAGAUAUUCGGAAGAACACCAGUGGCGAAGGCGACUUACUGGACGAUUGUUGACGCUGAGGUGCGAAAGCGUGGGGAGCAAACAGG